AUUGAACGCUGGCGGCAGGCCUCACACAUGCAAGUCGAACGAGUGGCGGACGGGUGAGUAAUGUCUGGGAAACUGCCCGAUGGAGGGGGAUAACUACUGGAAACGGUAGCUAAUACCGCCUACCAUCGGAUGUGCCCCGAUGGGCUUAGCUAGUAGGUGGGGUAACGGCUCACCUAGGCGACGAUCCCUAGCUGGUCUGAGAGGCUGCCCAGCCACACUGGAACUGAGACACGGUCCGUACUCCGACGGGAGGCAGCAGUGGGGAAUAUUGAACAAUGGGCGCAAGCCUGAGGCAGCAAUGCCGCGGGUAUGAAGAAGGCCUUCGGGUUGUAAAGUACUUUCAGCGGGGAGGCGUUACCCGCAGAAGAAGCACCGGCGAACUCCGUGCGAGCAGCCGCGGUAAUAC
rnacentral:rRNA from 1 species